AAUCUUGCACAAUGGACGAAAGUCUGAUGCAGCGACGCCGCGUGGGGGAUGAAGGCCCUAGGGUCGUAAACCCCUUUCAGUGGGGACGAAAAUGACGGUACCCACAGAAGAAGGUCCGGCCAACUACGUGCCAGCAGCCGCGGUAAGACGUAGGGACCGAGCGUUGUCCGGAAUUAUUGGGCGUAAAGAGCUCGUAGGCGGUUGCGUAAGUCGGAUGUGAAAGCUCAGGGCUCAACCCUGAGACGCCAUCCGAUACUGCGCUGGCUUGAAUCCAGUAGGGGAGUGUGGAAUUCCUGGUGUAGCGGUGAAAUGCGCAGAUAUCAGGAGGAACACCUAUGGCGAAGGCAGCACUCUGGGCUGGUAUUGACGCUGAGGAGCGAAAGCAUGGGUAGCAAACAGGAUUAGAUACCCUGGUAGUCCAUGCCGUA
rnacentral:rRNA from 1 species